GUGAAUCGUCGAAUUUUUGAACGCAAAUUGCACUCUCUGGCAUUCCGGAGAGUAUGUCUGUUUGAGGGUCAGUUUAAAUAAAAAUCGAGGUGUUGCUUUUUUGUGACCCUUCGGAAUUGGGUUAUCUUUGAUCUUUUAAAGGUUUAAGUGACUUAAAAUUGAUACCUUGUGCAUCUCAGACGUAUAUAAGAAUAUUUUUUUAUCCGUUCGGAGUUGCCAUCUUUUAUUAGGUAUGACCAUAUUGUUUGUGGCAUCGUUUCUAUAAUAUAUACUCAUAUUUUGCACUCAAAUUAGGUCGGAG
rnacentral:misc_RNA from 1 species